rnacentral:rRNA from 1 species
UACGGAGGGGGCAAGCGUUAUUCGGAUUUACUGGGCGUAAAGCGCACGUAGGUGGCAUGGUAAGUCACAGGUGAAAGCCCUCGGCUCAACCGAGGAACUGCCUGUGAAACUGUCUUGCUUGAGUCCGGGAGGGGGGAGCGGAAUUCCCAGUGUAGCGGUGAAAUGCGUAGAUAUUGGGAAGAACACCGGUGGCGAAGGCGGCUCCCUGGACCGGUACUGACACUGAGGUGCGAAAGCGUGGGUAGCAAACAGG